GGGCCAUUAGCUCAACGGAUAGAGCACAAGUUUCCUAAACUUGGAAUGGCGGUUCGAUUCCACCAUGGCCUA
rnacentral:tRNA from 1 species